CCUACGGGGGGCAGCAGUGGGGAAUAUUGCACAAUGGGGGAAACCCUGAUGCAGCAACGCCGCGUGAGUGAUGAAGGUUUUCGGAUCGUAAAGCUCUGUCUUUGGGGAAGAUAAUGACGGUACCUUAGGAGGAAGCCCCGGCUAACUACGUGCCAGCAGCCGCGGUAAUACGUAGGGGGCUAGCGUUAUCCGGAAUUACUGGGCGUAAAGGGUGCGUAGGCGGCCCUUCAAGUCAGAGGUGAAAGGCUACGGCUCAACCGUAGUAAGCCUUUGAAACUGUAGGGCUUGAGUGCAGGAGAGGAGAGUGGAAUUCCCAGUGUAGCGGUGAAAUGCGUAGAUAUUGGGAGGAACACCAGUUGCGAAGGCGGCUUUCUGGUCUGUAACUGACGCUGAGGCGCGAAAGCGUGGGGAGCAAACAGGAUUAGAUACCCUAGUAGUC
rnacentral:rRNA from 1 species